rnacentral:sRNA from 1 species
GUUUCCACUCACACGGUAGGCGGCUGUGUGAUUUCAUCUGGAGUCCCCAGGCCCCUCCUCAUCCUUCCCAGGGUUGCUCUGAGGCCAUCCCUCGUCAUCUAGGAGGGGUCCAUGUAAAAGCAUUUAUAAACAGCUCCAAAUGGGAGCCUGGCGCGCCCACCUUUGGAGCACUUUUUUCUACUGCAGAUUUAUCUACUGCUAGUUAAAUCUCUGGAUUUAACUCUGAUGAAAGACCUGAGGCUGAAGGGGAACUUCAAUGUCAUAUAUUUUAAAGGUUGACUCACAGUUUGGAGCAAGAAUUAAAGAACCACGAACAUCAAGGUAAAACGGGCAACGGCAGUGGGGCAAGCCUCUCUGCAGCCAGCGUGUCCAACCUCUCCUGCGUGCCAGAAGUCCCCAGGCAGGAGUGUGGUGGGACGUCCGGCUGGGGUAAGGACAGGCACUCUCCCACUGUGUCAGGGCCCAGAGAGUGGGUGGAGAAGCUCUGCAAGGGACCUGUGCAAGGGCACCUUGUAGGAGCCUGCAGUCCCCACAAGGGUGUUUGUGGAUAACAGUUGGGGAGCCCUGGUCUUUUGGGGUCAUGGAGGGCUUGGCCUCUCACCUCAGAGCUGCAGAGGAACCGCUUCUACAUCAGGACAUCAGAAGCGAGAAUGGGAUGGCUGGCGAGGGGCCUCUUGUUGAGGUCACAGAGAUGAGUCCCUGAGAUGGCCCGUGUGGAAGGCUGGAUUCUCACUCCACCUCUGCCCCUAUACGUCCUGGUGACCCUGCCCUCUGUAGUCUUGGUUUUUUGCAAAACAGUUAUGACCUCCUGUCAUACUGGGUACUUUGCUUAUGUAUUGUGUUUACUCUUUACUGUGUGUCUCUCCUUCUAAGGUCUACAAAGAAGGGUCUUUGUGGGUGGGGUUCUCAGAGGCAUCCCAAGUACCAGAAGCAGUCCCUGGACUAAGGGGCUCAAUAAAUAUUUUUUAUUUAUUAUUUUUCUUUUUGAGACGGAGUCUCGCUCUCUUGCCCAGGCUGGAGUUCAGUGGCACAAUCUCGGCUCACUGCAACCUUCACCUCCUAGGUUCAAGUGAUUUCCAGCCAAUUUUUGUAUUUUUAGUAGAGACGGGGUUUCACCAUGUUGGCCAGGCUGAUCACGAACUCCUGACCUCAAGUGAUCCACCCGCCUCAGCCUCCCAAGGUGCUGGGAUUAUAGACAUGAGCCACCAUGCCCGGCCAAAUAUUUGUCAAAUUGAGUUUGUAUUUCCACACAAAUUUUAGGCUGGAUGAAGUGGCUCAUGCCUGUAAUCCAAGCACUUUGACAGGCUGAGGCGGGCGGAUGGCUUGAGCCCAGGAGUCUGAGACCAGCCUGGAAAACAUAGAGAAACCCUGUCUCAAUAUAAGAAGAAGAAGAAAAAGAAAAAAAAAA